UCUGAAGGCAAAAGGGGGUCCAACCUUAUACUGGCAAGUAUGCGUAGGUCCGUCAUUGGACCCAUGGACGAGGUUUGUGCCCUGGGCGAGGACAGACGAGGCACCACCUGAAAGAGACUCUUGGGGCUCUUUCGUCACUGACCUGACCUAGAAGUACACUAUCAAGCAUUUGAUCCUGUUUUACACAUACCAAGAGGUCACCACUUUCACAGAGACAGC